UUUAGGUUUCCUGAAUACUGUUGCU
rnacentral:piRNA from 1 species